rnacentral:sRNA from 1 species
GCUGGGCAUGGUGCUGGGCGCCUGUAAUUCCAGCUACUGGAGAGCCUGAGGCAGGAGAAUCGCUUGAACUCAGGAGGCGGGGGUUGCAGUGAGCUGAGAUCAAGCCACUGCACUCCCCCCUAAGCAACAGAGCAAGACUCUGUCUCAA